CACAAAACUGAGAGCUCUCUUCAGCUAAUAGAGUGCAGGUACUUGGUGCAGGGUUUCUUCCGUCUUCCAUCACCACUCCUUAAGCAAGAAGUAGCAAGUUAUCCUGGCUGAUGCAGUGAAAUAGCUGAAGGGCAGGAACAUGACUACAUCCAAUCCUCGGCCAUCAGCUCUUUGCCUGGAGGUGACAGGGAGUAGAAGAGAUUCUGAAAAUCUGUCAAUUAUAAGCAUGCAUUUUGGGACAACUGUGAGAACAAGCCUGUGCUAA
rnacentral:lncRNA from 1 species